CGCAAGGCCGCGGCUUUGGCCGCUCCAAUCCUCGUGCUGUGUCCCAGAGGGCACCCCUCUGCGGCUCUGCUUCAAAUCCUUGGCUAUGCCUUGGACGGUACUGUAUCCAGUGGUUACUUGCCCUGGCUUCUGUUUGCUAACUGCUUAGCCGUUAAGCUUCAUUGUCUUCCUCUGAGGCCCUCGCUACUCGCUGUCCUAGCAUGCGUGAUGAGAUGGUUGGGCAAGUGAAGCAUCUCUGUUGGUGGCAGUGUGUGCCUCUCUAGACGGCGUGUGCCGGCUACAUCGGGCCCGUGGGGCUUCCAACCAAUUACGGUCAGAGUUGCCGUUUUGUCCUCCCCUGCUUCUUGUUCCUCCUGCUGCUCACGGUGACUGCUGCUCCCGCAAACUGCUGCCUAGUAAUUCUGCUGCUUGCUUGGCUGCUUGAUGUUGGGUUGCGGGGUGCAUGAAGCUACGCUUGCCUGUUGCGCUGUGUCACUUGUCCCGUGAAUUGAACUGUGUUUUUAAUUGUCUGUUCCUGUUGUCCAAAUUGGUCCUCGUCCAUAUUUGUGCUUUGCUUGUGCUGCUUAUGGUGAUGGUGCAGUAGCCCUUAUGAGAGUUCCAAUGCCAAAUGUGAUGUGCUGACUAAUCCGCAUGCUGUGCGUCCUUGGUUUGCUGUGAUUUGUUUAUGGUUUUGUUUAUUUUGUUUUGCAGUGCUUUUUCAUUCAUUUUGUUUCAUUUGCAGUGUUUGUUACUAAUUUUGUUUUGUCUCUGCAUCACUGGUAUUUGUGAAUACCUCCACUAGGGUGGAACACUACCUGUAGCCCAAGUCAUUGUGAAGUGUGUGUGUGUGUGUGUGUGUGUGUGUGUGUG